CAGCCUGCCCCAGGGCAGCUGUGGCUACAACCGUAGCUUGCCUCCACCAGUGUGUGAAUGAAUGGUGGCAUUGUAAAUCGCUUUGGGUCCCUUGAAAAGCGCUAUAUAAAUCCAAUCCUUUAUUAUUAUACUGAUUAACUGCAAAAAUACAGCAUUUUAACGUAAAUGGCAUCUUUACAGGCACUGAUUUUGAUGAACUUGGACACAACCUGACAACUUCAGCAUGUUCACUAGAGGGGCAUCCAUCAAAUCACGUGCACGGCUGGUUUAAAUUCAACAGCACUGCAUCGAUUCAGGUACGGCUUUUGUCACAAUUUAGGCUGUCUGAAUCGAUGCAGACAUCACUUUUUGGAAAACCCUCACAACACAGCCAUAUCUUGUUUUUAUCUUUCAGCCUAAUCAUGCUAUUUACUGGAGGCUGGCUACCCACUCUGCUCAAACCAAUAAAAUUGUCUCUGCCAGAGUUGUCAAGUCUGUGAGAGCUUUUGUCAGAGCAGAGUUAUUAAUCACAGAUUUAAAAAAAAAAACAAAAAAACAAACAGUCCCAGUCAACUGAUUAAACUAACAGACAGGUAGAAAAUCCCCAAGCUGAGUCUGAAAACUUUCAGCAAACUAUCCAGAUAGCAACACUUCACAGUCUCAGAUUCCCUUCUUCACCUCCAGCUAACAUUAGCAAACAUGAGCAGUAGCUGCAUGUUCUUCUACGCUGCCGCUGCAGGCUGAAUCCAUUUCUUAAGCCACAACAUAAGAAAAAAAAUCCAAUUAAUUCCUUUAAAAAAAACGGCAUUUUUUUUGUUAGACAACAGACAAGAUACUCUAAUAGAUGUCAUGGUCAUGUAACCAAAGAUGGCACAUGUUAAAAGCACAGCACCAACAUAUGACUUGUUCUUCGUGCCUCUAAUAGAACUACCAGAUUAUCAAACCAUACCGCUUAAAAAAAAAGUACAUCAAAAAUACAUCACACUUUCCUGACCCUGUGGGGAAACUGGUCUUGAACUCCCACUACUGCUGAUCCACCAUAUGCCUCGUUCUGCUCCAUAACUGCUAUGUCACUCCUCCCUGCAGCUUGAUCCACCGUAUUCAAAGAUUUUACCGUUUCCAACGCUAGGGAAACUUUUUCAAGGUUUGGCCUCAACCCAAGAGAAAAGUUCUCUAAUGCAUGUACACAGUGGAAGCACUUGUUGGUUUUUUUUUCUUUCCUUCCAUACCCCAGUUACAGAUGGAGAGACCCCAUCCUGUCAGGCUCCCCUGUGCCAAAGCUCUGCCAGGGAGGCCCCUGUGAUAAUGAGCCUUAAACACUAUUUACAGCCACACUACAAUAAUUCUGUAACAAUGGUUUCCACAUAAGUUUUGUUUCAAUGGACGUUUCUGGGCAUAACUAGGCUUGGACCAGGCUAAUAAGUGGUCCCUGAUGGCCUUUGCCAAACUUUACCUCACUGUGCUGCCAGUGUGCAUUUAUAGGAUUGUUAUACCCACAAAAUCAUUAAAUACAACAGACGGAGACUCCAGUAGUGUUAAACAUUACUAUGACUUUGAUUGGUAAACUGUACUUAUUCUAAAUUCUUCAUUCUGGUAAAAAAAAAAAAAAAGAAAAAAGGCCUAAUAUUAUGUUUUACCUCAGGAAUAAAUAACUUGCUCCGCUGCUGAGAGUUCAACAAGAAGCUUGCUAUCACCCCUAUGUCCCUAUGGCAAGCACGAAGCUACCAACAGAAGCUGGUUAGCUCAGGAUUGCAAAAAGACUGGAAAUGGAGGGAAAUUGUUCUUUCCUGUUCCAGUUCUUUCCAAAGGUAACAAAAUCUGCUUGAAGUCCUGUCAUCACCGUGAGGCUGUAAGGCAGUAAGUGGAGACCUGUGGAAGUUCAUGUGCGAGGGUAAGAAAUCAUUUGGAGCACAUUAUAACCGUGAGUAAAACUGUAACUUGUUUUCACACUUGCUCUGUGCAUAUUAAAUGAACAAUAUAUUACCGGGUCCAAGAUAGGCUGUUUUUUUAUCCUCUGGAUAGAAACCAGCUAGCUUUUUUUUCCUUCUGAAUAUAAAC
ensembl:lncRNA